rnacentral:lncRNA from 1 species
CACGGAAGAGUCUAGAAACAGUGUGAGAUGGGUGAUCAUCAGCAAACAAUGAGCCAGUGGUGCAGGCUUUUACCACCCUGCUUAAUGAGAGUUCUUCCCUCACAGUGUGAAAAAUCACUGCCAAAAUACUACCUGACUCACUCCCAAAGGUGAGCAGCCUGACAACUUGCGAGGGAAGAAGAUAAGGACCAUAAACAGAAGGAGUUCUUCUAGCAGCAACUGGAGUAUCAUCUUCAAAUAGGUACAAAAUAUAUGGCUGCAAACAGUUGUUUCCAAGAAGUAUUACUGAACCUUGCAAGCUGGACUAAGUGACUUGAAUUUAAACUGCACUGGAUUAACUGUUGUAUGUGUGCACACUGGGACUCAGAAAGUGGACCUGGUCUGAGAUGAGAAGACACUCUCGCUUUCAGUUGACUCUGUAGCAAGCUGGUUCUCUGGUUUCUGUACAGAGACAACUACUAAAAGAACACAAGAGGUUUGCCUCCUUGCUUGCUUUCUGAACAGCCUGUGACUUGUUUCAACUCUGUCAUCUCUCAUCUUUUGAGGGGGUGCUGUCAUAAAAGAAUAACUGAAAUAAGCACUUCAUAGCCAAUGGCAGUCUCUUCCUGAACUUGGUUGAAACACUAGCUAUUUUUAUUUUUUUAAUCAAUGGAUCUUUUAAUUUUUGCCUCUGAGGCCUGAAAAUGGCACACUGCAGGUGAAAUACUGACCAGGAUCCUUGCUGACUGAAUGCAUUCCUUACCAAUUUGAACUGAAUCUGCCCAAAGUAUAAUGCAGUGUGAAAGGAGAUAGGGGACCACCCUUGUAUUUGGUGGAGAACUACUAUCUUGUGUGGUGGCUUUAUUCACUUCCUUAAAAACAAAACAAAACCCAGCCUUUUUCARAAUGCAAACUGAAGCAUUGUGGGUUUUGCUCACAUAAAUGCACAAACAGUCCCUUGCCUCCUUUUUUCCCCCCCUUCUCCACUCCCAACCCUAGUCUUCACCUUCAAUGUUUACAUGGUGAUCUAGCAUGCAUUAAACAGUGGUUGAAGUCUCACAUCCCAUAUCUUGCUACAGGCUAUGGUGGCUCGUUCUGAUUCUUCUCCCUAUCUUUUUAUCUUGAAUAUGGGCAGCAACGUGGGUAACCCUUCCUAUUUGAAGUUGAAUAGAUGUUCUGCCACUUGAAUGGAACCACAACUAGUGAAUAACCUAAGCAAACUUAAGUUUUCAGCCACCGCUUUAGAUUCUUGGCAUUAAAUACAGGACAAACAACUUCUUGUAUGGAAAGUGCCAAAAGGACUUUUUUUGAGAACUUUCUUCUUAUUUGAAGGCUAGAACAUCCUAGUAGCAGAAAAGAAUUAAAAUGGCUUGACUGGUAGUCUAUUUCUCCUUACAGAGUGAAGGCUUAUAACAUGACAUGGCAUCUGAGGUAACUGAGCUGAUCUGACUGAGAGGGAUGAUUCCCAGGGUUGCUUAGAGCUGGUACAUCUGCCUCAAACAGCUGAGCUAGGCUGAAAUCCUGCAGUUAGAUCUUGCUCUGCUGUGCUGCUCUGUGGCAAAUGGGGGUGGCUGGGGGUGGUGCUCUCUCCCUGGCCUCUAACAGACUGAUGCUCACUGGCUGCCUUUACAGCACUGAUACUGAGCAUAUCUUUGCCAUAUUUGAUGGCUAAGUAGCAAACACUUAUUUCAUAUACAAAUGCUCUUAAACAUGUUUACCUUGUGUUUUUUAUAACUGCUGUGAUUAACAUUGUGAAAUAAGUUUAACUCUAAUAUUUUCUAUUUCUUUUAUAAUAAAGAUAUCUUUUUGAAAGAGUACUGGAACUCU